UUGUAAAGUGGCGCACGGGUGAGUAACACGUGGGUAAUCUGCCCUUGAGUUUGGGAUAACCCCGCGAAAGCGGGGCUAAUACCGAAUAAGACCACGGAGACCAAAGUCUCUGAGGUAAAAGGUGGCCUCUAUUUAUAAGCUACCACUUGAGGAUGAGCCCGCGGCCCAUUAGCUAGUUGGCGGGGUAAUGGCCCACCAAGGCUAUGAUGGGUAGCUGGUCUGAGAGGACGAUCAGCCACACUGGAACUGAGACACGGUCCAGACUCCUACGGGAGGCAGCAGUGGGGAAUAUUGCGCAAUGGGCGAAAGCCUGACGCAGCAACGCCGCGUGGGGGAUGAAGGUUUUCGGAUUGUAAACCCCUUUCGAUCGGAACGAAUCUCCUCCUGGUAAAUAAUCAGGAGGAUCGACGGUACCGAGAGAAGAAGCCACGGCUAACUCUGUGCCAGCAGCCGCGGUAAGACAGAGGUGGCGAGCGUUGUUCGGAUUUAUUGGGCGUAAAGCGAACGCAGGUGGUUUGGUAAGUCAGGGGUGAAAUUCCGCAGCUUAACUGCGGCAUUGCCUUUGAUACUGCCUUUCUUGAGUGCAUGAGGGGGAAGCGGAAUUCCGAGUGUAGAGGUGAAAUUCGUAGAUAUUCGGAGGAACACCGGUGGCGAAGGCGGCUUCCCGGCAUGUAACUGACACUCAUGUUCGAAAGCGUGGGUAGCAAACAGGAUUAGAUACCCUGGUAGUCCACGCCCUAAACGAUGGGCACUAGGUGUGGGAGGUAUCGACCCCUUCCGUGCCGCAGCUAACGCAUUAAGUGCCCCGCCUGGGGAGUACGGCCGCAAGGUUGAAACUCAAAGGAAUUGACGGGGGCCCGCACAAGCGGUGGUGCAUGUGGUUUAAUU
rnacentral:rRNA from 1 species